AUCUAUGGCCAUGCCACCCUGAACAAGCCCAAUCCUGUCUGAUCUCAGAAGCUAAGCAGGGUCAGGCCUGCUUAGUACUUGGAUGGGAGACCACCUAGGAAGACCAGGUGCUGUAGGUG
rnacentral:rRNA from 1 species